rnacentral:misc_RNA from 1 species
GAUGAAGAACGCAGCGAAAUGCGAUAAGUAAUGUGAAUUGCAGAAUUCAGUGAAUCAUCGAAUCUUUGAACGCACAUUGCGCCCGCCAGUAUUCUGGCUGGCAUGCCUGUCCGAGCGUCAUUUCAACCCUCGAACCCCUCCGGGGGGUCGGCGUUGGGGAUCGGCCCUUUCACCGGGUGCCGGCCCCUAAAUACAGUGGCGGUCUCGCCGCAGCCUCUCAUGCGCAGUAGUUUGCACACUCGCACCGGGAGCGCGGCGCGUCCUCGUCCGUAAAACACCCCAAACUUCUGAAAUGUUGACCUCGGAUCAGGUAGGAAUACCCGCUGAACUUAAGCAUAUCAAUAAGCGGAGGA